GCUUCAGCGUGACUUCUUUCUCGCGUGGAGCCAAGAACCAAGGUCUAUCUCUCCCCAGAGAGAUCUAACAGUCCCCGCCAUGGCAACCGACUGAGCAGUCCUACUGUGCACCCACAAAGUGACCAGGAACCAGAAUCCACCGGACAGCAACUGGCAGCAGAAGUUGAGGCAGCGCUAAUCUACAUCGUAAAGGAGGCUGUGAGUUCUCAGGAAGGCCGCAGACCAGGACAAGGUGUCAUCAGUGGACGUCAAGGGUCUGCAGCUGGAACAGCACCCAACAAGGAGAAGGCCAAGGAGGAGGAGCAUGGUGAACAAGAAAUACAUGUGAUUCACUGAAAAUCAUGCGACACACUACAUGAAUGGCCACAACUCCGUGUGGCAGAAGGAUGGUCUCUCCAACAAGUCUGAGUUCUACACCUGGAGCCUGGGAUAAAUUAUACGGCAUAAGGGAAUUUAGGUAGCAGAUGGAAUUAAAGUUGCAUCUGGUCUUAAAAUGGAGAAAUCAUCUUGGAGUAUCUGAGUGAUACAAUGUGAGAACAAACUGGUUUGCUUCUGCAAUUCUGGAGGAGGAGGAAGAGGGUCACGGGACAAGGAAUGAAAGUGGUCCCUAUGAGCUAGAAAAGGCAAGACUCAGAGGCUACAAAGAGGAAGAUAAAUUAGAAAACAAUUUCAGAGCUUCAAUUUCUCAAAGUUCUAGUCCACUUAUUAUGCAACUAGAUGUGAGUUCCUCAUUUGUAAAAUGCUGGCAUUCCACUUACUAGUUUCUUAGGUACUUGUCAGUUCUGGGAUAGUGUGAUAGAAGUUUUGUUGUGUAUUCUGUUCUUCGGGUGAAACCCAUGCCUACAUAUAAAUGUACCAGUUGCUUUUGAAAUGUUA